rnacentral:rRNA from 1 species
UUGGUCAUUUAGAGGAAGUAAAAGUCGUAACAAGGUUUCCGUAGGUGAACCUGCGGAAGGAUCAUUACCUAGAGUUGUAGGCUUUGCCUGCUAUCUCUUACCCAUGUCUUUUGAGUACCUUCGUUUCCUCGGCGGGUCCGCCCGCCGAUUGGACAUAUUCAAACCCUUUGCAGUUGCAAUCAGCGUCUGAACAAACUAAAUAGUUACAACUUUCAACAACGGAUCUCUUGGUUCUGGCAUCGAUGAAGAACGCAGCGAAAUGCGAUAAGUAGUGUGAAUUGCAGAAUUCAGUGAAUCAUCGAAUCUUUGAACGCACAUUGCGCCCCUUGGUAUUCCAUGGGGCAUGCCUGUUCGAGCGUCAUUUGUACCUUCAAGCUUUGCUUGGUGUUGGGUGUUUGUCUCGCCUCUGCGCGCAGACUCGCCUCAAAACAAUUGGCAGCCGGCGUAUUGAUUUCGGAGCGCAGUACAUCUCGCGCUUUGCACUCAUAACGACGACGAUCCAAAAGUACAUUUUUACACUCUUGACCUCGGAUCAGGUAGGGAUACCCGCUGAACUUAAGCAUAUCAAUAAG